rnacentral:rRNA from 1 species
AUGGUGGAGGGCUCCGUGUCCAACAUUGACAACUUGAAGUUCCUCCUCCUAUGCUUCCAACUGAUGUCAGGCCUCACCAUCAACUUCGACAAGAGCAUGAUCCUUGGCUACUCCCCCGACGAGGCCCAAGCUAUGGCCGACUGACUGAACUAUCGGCUGGGUUCUUUCCCCACGACCUAUUUGGGGAUCCCCAUUAGUGACUCGCGACUCACUAUGGCUGACCUACGGCCGACGGUGACUCGGAUGCAACACCGGGUAGAGCCCUGGAAGGGGCGGUGGCUCUCGAAGGCGGCCCGGGUGAUCCUCAUUAACUCCUCGCUUGCCAGCCUACUCUAGUUUCUCAUGAGCUUCUACAGCCUUCAUGAGAUGCUUCAUCAGGAGAUCGCCAAAUACCAAUCUAGGUUUUUCUGGGCAGGUGAGGGUGAUAAGCAGAAAUACCAUAUGGUGAGCUGGCCCGACAUUUGCAAACCCAAUGACCAGGGUGGUCUUGGGAUCUUGUCUUCCUGGCGCAUGAACAUUGCUCUCCUGACCCGUUGGCUAUGGCGUAUCGCCAAUGGGGAGGGAGGACUCUAG